AAAACAAGAUUUUGAAUGUAAAA
rnacentral:snRNA from 1 species